rnacentral:misc_RNA from 1 species
GCAAAGUAAAAUGGCUACCAAACAUCUUUUUUUCUUUGCUAUUCUCUUGUUUUCAGCUGCCUCUGUUUUUGCAGAGGAAAAUCCUAGCCUUGUAAUGGACUAUUACAAGGACACUUGCCCUCAAGCUGAAGAAAUCAUCAAAGAACAAGUCAAACUUCUCUACAAACGCCACAAGAAUACUGCAUUUUCUUGGCUAAGAAACAUAUUCCAUGACUGCUUUGUUGAGUCAUGUGAUGCUUCCUUGUUGCUGGACUCAACAAGGAGGAUGCUGUCUGAGAAAGAGACAGACAGGAGUUUUGGUAUGAGAAAUUUCAGAUACAUUGAGACUAUUAAAGAAGCUGUAGAAAGGGAGUGCCCUGGUGUUGUUUCUUGUGCUGAUAUUCUUGUGUUGUCUGGUAGAGAUGGUAUUGUUGCUCUAGGAGGGCCACACAUUCCUCUCAAAACUGGAAGAAGAGAUGGAAGAAAAAGCAGAGCAGACAUUCUUGAACAGCACCUCCCAGAUCACAAUGAAAGCAUGAGUGUUGUUCUUGAAAGAUUUGCUAACAUUGGAAUCAACACCCCUGGAGUUGUUGCCUUGCUAGGGUCACACAGUGUGGGUCGAACACACUGUGUGAAGUUGGUACACCGUUUAUAUCCAGAAGUAGACCCUCAAUUGAACCCAGAGCAUGUACCACACAUGCUCAAGAAGUGUCCUGAUCCAAUUCCAGACCCAAAGGCUGUGCAAUAUGUGAGAAAUGACAGAGGCACGCCCAUGGUUCUAGACAACAACUACUACAGGAACAUAUUGGACAAUAAGGGGUUAAUGUUAGUUGAUCAUCAACUAGCAAUGGACAAGAGGACUAAGCCAUAUGUAAAGAAAAUGGCAAAAAGCCAAAAUUAUUUCUUCAAGGAAUUUGCAAGAGCCAUCACUAUUCUUUCUGAGAAUAAUCCACUUACUGGGACAAAAGGUGAGAUCAGAAAGCAGUGUAAUCUUGCCAACAAGCUCCACUAAAACAAUCCUGCUUUUUCUUAUGUGCUUGUACUCAUUAUCACUUUUCCCCCCCUUCCUUUGUGUAUUUAUAUGCGAGGGAACAGUGAAAAAUGAUAGUAGGAAUAAGAUGGUUUUAGUUUCUUGGUGUUGUAAGUUUGUGUAGUGGACAUGACCAUGUUCAUUACAUUCCAUGUACUGUUUGUAAAAUUUCACUAUUUUAGCUACCCUCUUAAGUUAUGAAACAAGUGUUAAU